GUUCCAUGUCCAUCGGCGGUGCAAACAGGAGCUCUGUCGUCACCCACGGUCGGGCACUAUGAGAGAAUUUGUUGAGAGUAGCUUAUUUGGUCAGGGUGGAGAUGAUUAAUGAUGGCAUGUGGGAGUUUUAUAUGCAUCUCCACGGGCCUGAAGACACCAUUUAAAGAUAUGAUCGAAGAGACUAGGAAUUGCAAGCCAGUUAACCAACAUACUCAGAGAUGUUGGAGAGGAGCGGUAGCUAUAUUAUCUCUCAUGUUGACUAAAUAUUGUUGAGGCUAUAGAAGAUGGACCUUCUGGACCUUCACCUGCUAGGAAUUGAUUAGACAUUGUUGAAGUUGUUAUUGAAGAUGCACCUUCACCAAACAAGAAGGAAGAAAUUAAAGAAGAGCAAUGUAGAUGUUAGUAUGUGGUCAUAAAAAAGUUGUAAUGCAAUAUAUUUCAUACAACAAAACUGUCUUGUGUAUAUGUAGUUUGCUCUCGAGCAAUGUUUCAUGUAAUGCUGUUGCAGGCAAAGAGUUUGAAAAAUAUAUAUAUAGUCUCUUUAUUUGUUA